UGCCGCCGUUCUGACCAAGACUGAACCUUUCCUAUUUUCCCAGCACGCUCUCUCUCUCUCUCUCCCGACCCCGUCCCAAUCUCCUGGCGGCGGCGCAGCGGCAGCCGGGCAGCGACGAGCUGGCGCCAGUGGCUACCGAGACUAGCGGCGGCAAGCGGCAGGUAGCGCCGCGAUGACGAGGUCAACACCCCGGGCGGCUGCCUCCACACCACAGGGAAAAUGAGACCAAGGGGAAAGAGAUCCCCUUUCCCUCGCCCCUCGGCGGUGCUGGCCGCUAUCACGCAUCCUACCUCCGCGUCGUCACCCACCCCUUCAACAUCAUGUCCUCGCGCCGGGAACUCGUCGGCGGCAUAACCCGGCUACGGCGGUCAUCAGGGAGAAGGACGACCUGCGCCUCCAGAUGUGCCUCCUCCGCAACAUGGUGGCUGGCCUGCUGAUGCUUCUCUCCUCCGGUGUUGGGGACGACGGGCUGCCGCUGCACGCCGAGCCCAAUGCGGCGGUGACGGCGAGGAUGGGUGGCGUCGGGUUCAUGAGGGCGCCCAACAGGGCUCAUGCAUCAGGGCAUAAAAGAAUGAGAAGGAGGGGGCGACCUGUCGACUAGCAUCUUUGACGGGGGGAUGAUAGUCCAGAUCAAACAGACAUGUGUUCCAUACUUCCAUGCAAGUGCUAGGAGGUAGGAGCAGUAAAUUUCCUUAUUAAGGUGCUGCCACAUAUAAUAUCAGAUUUAUCUAGCUAUACUCUUGGAUUCAAUCUUUGUAGAUGUUUGGUUUCUGUUUCUCAGAUGAGCUUGGUUAAUUUCUUCCUUGGUGGUGCUUCGAUCUGACAAUUCACAAGGACCCCGCCUCUCCUUUGUCCUCCUUAAUUUGUUUGUGCAAUGAAUGUUUUAUUUCGACAGUGAUUAUUUGUUUGUACAAUACAUGCUUUAGUCUUAAAAAUGAUUAGACUGAAUGAUGGUUGUUAUUUAUUUUUCCUUCGAGGCAUUAGGUUUCGUAUAAGCUGUGAAUGUAUAAAAAUUCAGAAUCUAUAGGAAGAUCGAUACAAAAAUAUUUAGAUGAUAUAUCAUUCUAUAUAUAUGUGCAUCUAUGGUGAUCAUUUGUUCUUCCGUUGUGUUUUUCUCAUUCGGUACUCUUGAAUUUAAUUUGCUGAUUGGUUCUCCAGACAUGAGUGCAGAUCUGGGGAGGUCUAGAAGAGGAAGAAGCUACAGUAGAAAAUUUAUUAAGAAGCUGCCAAAGAGUUGUUCUUGAGGGACACACGGCUGGCCUCGAAGAUGGACCUUCAUGUAUGCCCCAUCUAAACCGCAUCUCUAAUUUAUAGUACCACACAACAGCUUCAAGCAAACAACCCUGUGAGCUAGCCGAUCAUCAGAUGUAUUACCUAUCAAAUGCUUUGUAUAAAAUCUUGAGAAAUUAAAGUGAGUUAACUUCUACUUCCUCAAUAACAAUUUCAAUUGACUUUUCACAAUUCUGAUUACUGCUCCAACUUAUGUUGGAAGGCAGCCAAAUAUUAGGAGCCAAAAUGGAGCAAUUGUCUUCGACAUACUGGAAAUUCAUUGGAGUCCAGCCAUUAUAUUGAAAUGUUGCUAUCCCUUCAAGCUCUGUUUUCUGCUUCUGCCCCUGAUGAUUCUCAGGGUGUUGUUGUUGCACGACUGGUCUGAGUUGGAUCUUUGCUAUUUAGUUCCAUGUUUUAACCGACCAAUACUUAUGGGAGCUUACUAUGCAUUGGGUGUUAAAUAUAGAUUUCCUCUUCAUGAGCUAAUAUCUUUUGCCUGAAGUUCAGUUAUGUACUUGGCCAGAACUGCCACAUAAUACCUACGGUACAAUAGCAAAAAAGUGAUGGAGAGUUGGGUCUUGCUAUUUAGUACCAUGUUUUAACACACCACUUUUGCCAUGGGGGCUACUAUGCAUUGGGUGUAAAUUCCAUGCAGCGAAAGUUCAAUGUUUAAUAUAUUUUCUCUUUGUGUCUUUUAGUCUACAAUUUCUUUUAUCUUAUUGGAGAUGAAAGGCAGGUUCGCAAAGUCAAAUUAAAUAUAGCCAUGGUCAUGUUGCUAGAUUUUAGAAUUUUAUUUGAGACUUUAGCUUUCUGUGUUUGGUCCAUAGUGUUAGAUGUUCAUGAUAUGUACAUAAGACAGGCCAACUUAUAUUAAACCUUUACGAUUACUAGGACUUUCUUUUCUCUCUGUACUUUUCGACAUGCAUGUGAUGCAUUUCUUGAAGGAUUAAUCAUGUGAUAUUGUGGGUUUGCUCAGCUAUCUUCUCUUUACAUAUUUUGGGCUAAUCCUAUGGUACAAUAGCAUGGAAGUGUUGCUGUACUGUAAUUGGUUUCAGUUGUUUGUAUUGUGUUUCAAGACGUGAAGCCUUACCCCGGAGUUAUUUCUACAUCUCAGUGCGAAUUUCUUAUAGGCUCCAUGGGCAAUAUUUGAAAAAACACGUAAAUAUUUGGAAUGCAUAUUAGAACUUGAUGAGCUCAAGCUACCUACAUAUUUAAUGCUGAUAGCCUCUCACUUUCGUUUAGUUACUGAAGUACUGAGGUUGUACCUAAAGACGGUCUGGUUUGCGCCACCUACUGUUCUAUUAUAUUGCAAUAAAAGUUUGUUGCCCUUUUUUCUAUGUAUGAUAUGAUUUUGUAUCUACACUUUUUACAUCGUGUUUCUGCUUGCUAUUUUUUUUAUUUAUACUGUUUCCUAUUCUCCAGGUCAGUUCAUCAAUCUCUUGGCAUGAGCUCUUCAAUUGCUUCUUCGUAUUUGCCAUUGAAGUGACAUAGGUCAACAUACAGAAAUGCUGAAAUAGCAUGUGUUGUACAGUUUUAUGUGGAGACUUUCUAAUGUUCUAUAUCUUGUUGUAUAUAUAAUACGUUCUCUGUGCUUUACUACCUGAGGAUUCUCUCCAUGUUGUUCCUUUGGCUGCUCUACACAAUUAUAUUUUAUCAAACACAACAGUUAUGGCCAGUACUAUGUUGGAUUUGUGUGAAUUAUGUGUAGUUUACAUCACUUCAGCUAAAUGAAAGCUCUGUUUGUAUCUUCUA